AGGGCUAACCUGGAUGGCUGUGAAUUGGCUUAAUCUCAGCUGGCAACUGUGAGAUGUUAAUAAAUUCCCUCACAGUGGUCUCUGGGAUUAUGCUAAACAGAGCAAUUUCCUUGGCCUCAUGG
rnacentral:pre_miRNA from 15 species